AUUGAACGCUGGCGGCAUGCCUUACACAUGCAAGUCGAACGGUAACAGGUCUUCGGAUGCUGACGAGUGGCGAACGGGUGAGUAAUACAUCGGAACGUGCCUAGUAGUGGGGGAUAACUACUCGAAAGAGUGGCUAAUACCGCAUGAGAUCUACGGAUGAAAGCGGGGGAUCGCAAGACCUUGUGCUACUAGAGCGGCCGAUGGCAGAUUAGGUAGUUAGUGGGAUAAAAGCUUACCAAGCCGACGAUCUGUAGCUGGUCUGAGAGGACGAUCAGCCACACUGGGACUGAGACACGGCCCAGACUCCUACGGGAGGCAGCAGUGGGGAAUUUUGGACAAUGGGCGCAAGCCUGAUCCAGCAAUGCCGCGUGCAGGAUGAAGGCCUUCGGGUUGUAAACUGCUUUUGUACGGAACGAAAAGCCCUGGGUUAAUACCCUGGGGUCAUGACGGUACCGUAAGAAUAAGCACCGGCUAACUACGUGCCAGCCGCCGCCGUAAGAC
rnacentral:rRNA from 1 species